GAGUAGGCUAUUGUGCUUUUAUGAGUACGGAGGUUUUCGUUCUCGUAAUUUGUUUUAUAUAAUGAGACUUCCGAAUCGACAAUCAAUUCUAUUAGAUUUGAUCUAGGGUAUUUAAAAUAUUUAAAAAUAUGAUUUUUUUGAUAUCAUUUAUCUAGUGUUUAAAAGGGUUUAAUAUCAAUAAUUUUAAUGGUUAAUGUGAGUUGUUUACUAGUUUGACUGUGUAUAGAUUUUCAAAUCAAAUAAAAUUUUGAGAGAAAAAUUUUUAAUUAUUAACAGCAAAAUUAAUAUUUCUGAUCUAAAAUUUCGAUAUUAUAUUAUUACUUUUUGUGAGAUUGUUAUUUUCAGUCAAUGGUUUUGAGCCAUUUAUGUAACCGAUAUUGAAAAAUCGUAAAAUUUAUUUUUAAAAUACUUCAAAUACUCUAGAUUAAGCUUACUAUAGCUGAUUGUCAAUUCAAAAAUUCUAUCAUAGAAAAUAAUUUAGGAGUAUGGAGGCUUUUGUGCUCUUAAAAUUAUAGUAGUCCUACUCUUUUUUCUUUUUCUUUUUUUGGUUAAAGGCUAAGGCGCCUGCUGGAACUUUCGGGCGCUCAAAAACUACGUGG
rnacentral:lncRNA from 1 species